rnacentral:rRNA from 1 species
CUGGUCAUUUAGAGGAAGUAAAAGUCGUAACAAGGUUUCCGUAGGUGAACUGCGGAAGGAUCAUUACAGAGUUCAUGCCCCUCGGGGUAGACCUCCCACCUUUGUAUACAUUGCCUUUGUUGCUUUGGCGGGCCGCCGCGCCCGCGUCACCGGCUUCGGCUGGUGUGCGCCCGCCAGAGAACCCCCAAACCCUGUUUACAGUGUCGUCCGAGUACUAUAUAAUAGUUAAAACUUUCAACAACGGAUUCUUGGUUCUGGCAUCGAUGAAGAACGCAGCGAAAUGCGAUAAUUAAUGGAAUUGCAGAAUUUAGUGAAUCAUCGAAUCUUUGAACGCACAUUGCGCCCUUGGUAUUCCGGGGGGCAUGCCUGUUCGAGCGUCAUUUCAACCCUCAACUCUGCUUGGUCUUGGGCCGCGCCGGCAACGGCGGGCCUCAAAAACAGUGCGGCGCCAUCGUGUCCCUCAGCGUAGUAAUUCUUCUCGCUGCUGGUGCCGGUGGCCGCUGGCCAGCAACCCCAAAUUUUUCUAUGGUUGACCUCGGACAGGUAGGGAUACCCGCUGAACUUAAGCAUAUCAAUAAGCCGGAAGGGA